CAUUGGAACCGGAGAAGUCCACAUGCAUUUCCCCUCUGAUAAGGUACGCCCCUAUUUUACUGACCCUAACUAUAUAGUUGAAGACUUUAAGCAAGUCAGGACAAGAAGAAGACGACACAACCGUAACCAGAGGAGGCAAAUCAUUAAGGACGGAUGGGCAGACUAUGAAGGAGAAGUCGUAAGGUCUGAAGACAUACAGCUUGAACAGAACUGUCCUGAGGAGACCGUAGCACCGAGUCAGGUGUGCAGAAAGAAGAUAGUUAUACACAAAGAGCAGGCUCUGCCGGAACCACCGACUAUGCCAUUCAGCAAAUCCCAGGACGACUGAGAAAACGGAGGGUCCCGUUCGGAGGACUUAAAAACACUGAACGCCUUGCCAAGAGGUAAACUUGGUAGUUAUCUUUUUCCUUUCAAUUAUUUUAAAAUAGUUUGCUUAGUUAAUCAGGUUCACAUCAUCUUGAAAAGAAAAUAAAAAUAUUAAGCCCCAUGUGGUUAUGCUCAUGGCAUAAAACCCAUAAGUACAUUCACUGUGGUGGCGUAAAAAUAAAAUAACUAUAUUCCUAUCCUAUAAAAAUAAAAUUAUAAAAAUAGAUUUAUGAUCCCACUAAAAAGAGUAAUAUUUAUUGAGGAGACUCAACAUGAUAAAGGCUAGAUAUUUAUGCUAACACUUAACUAGUUCCACAAGCUUUGUUGUCUAUUUGAGCUCCACAAAAUUCAAGGAUCAAAGAAGACUAGCAGACGGAGGACAUCCUAGUCGCCGUCACGGUGCUGCUGACAUUCAAAUAUACCUUCGCCAUCUGCUAGCUACAUCAGAAGGAAUUACGUCAAAAUCCAGCUUGGGGGAGAGCACCUCCAUUUAUCCAGCUAAGUAUUCUACUCACGUUUAUAUUUUACUCAAAUAAUAAAAAGAUGCAUAAUCGUAAAAACCCAAAUAAAGAUUUUGUGCUUAUAUAUAUAUCUUUGCUUAGUUUGCUAAAUAAAUAAAUAAAUAAAAUUUGCUAUGAACCCUCAUGAUGAGCUCUCACAUGGAAAGAUGAAUAGUUGCUCUGCCAUGACUAGUUCUCAAAAUUGAAAUCUCUCUCAAGUUUAGGCAUCACUGUUAUUAAUUAAGAUUUGCUCUAAACCUGAACUUGUGGGAAGAGUACUUGAUCUGAAGUCUAAGUCGUUAACGGAUAUGAUAUGGGAAGGUUGAGCUGCUGUUUAUCUGUUCCUAGAGAUGCUAGAAUUCUGGAGAAUUUUAUCUUUGAAAAUCUUUAAAAUAUCACAUGAUGAGUUCCUGUAUGAUGAGAGUUUAAAUUCCUACCACAGCCAUAUAUACAUGCUUGCUAGACUAUGAGCCACACAUUUACUUUUUACUGCUUAUGAGCAUUGAGUGUGGUCAAGCUUUGUAGACCCUUAGGAGCUUGUCAUGUGGUUAAGUCAAGAUUCACUUGCACGUUCACUCAUACAUGCUACUUCUACCCUGGAAGUACCAUCCACAUAUACCCAUUCCCAUCUCCAGAACCACCCAAAAAUAUUCUACUCCUAAUCCGGGAGAGAAUAGCCAAAAAUAUUUCUAUUUUUUCCCUAUGAAAUAAAUGCUCAAGUUAUCUUGUCACUACCACUUGCUAUAUUAUCUCAUGAGAUGAGUGCUCUAAAGAAAAAAGAGAAAAAAAAAGAAGAAUACGAGGAAAUAAAAAGGGGCAAUUGCCCGGAACCUCGAAAGAAAAAAAAAGAAAAAUAAGUGAGACGAGAGGUAAAAAUGGACAAGUGUCCGACAGUAGAAUUAGGGGUACAAGAUACCCACCUGAGAGAAAAGAAAAAAAGAAAAAGAAAGAAAAAAGAAAAUAUAGAGCAUCUCAUUCUCCUCAAAAAGUUUCAAAAGAGCAAGAAAGGUAUGUAUCCCCUCAAAAGAGCAUAAGUAGAAUUAGACUUUCACCAUUGUUAUCACCAUCAUCACCAUACACCAUUCAUUCGCCACACAUGCACAUCUUGAUUUGACUUAUUGACUUGUUCUUCUGGAUCCAUGGUUUGACUAUGCAAUAUAUGUCUUGUAAGUAUGUAUUAGCUGUCUCCCACCUAUGAGCUCCAGAUAUCAAAACCUUAUUAGAGUAGGGUGAGAGAGAAGGCAAUGUCACUAUGCCUUAUACCACAAAUACCACAUACUUUGAGAGAAGGCAUAUACCAUUACUGCCUUGGUAAGGAUCCAGAAAUACCACAAAAGAGAGAGUAGAGAGAGUCAUACAAGGAAUCUCUGAGUUUUAUUUGAAAAUCUGCAAAAACUCCAGAGCUAUAGUUAAUCGAAAAACAAGAGACAUGGUGCUUGACUAGACUGUUCUAUCUUUUAACUACUAAAGACAGAAGUGAUGGUUACAAGUCCCAUGGUGAAAGGUAAAUGAGUAAGUUUUAAGUCUUAACAGUUUACUCUAACCAGAGAUGAGAUCUUGUUUAAACACAUGUGUAUCUUUAAGUUAUGAAACCACUGCAGAAACUCUUGAGUCCAUCUUUGCUUAGGGACGAGCAAAGGUUAAGCUUGGGGGAGCUUGUUGACGGUCCUUAAUGCUCACAUUUAACCAUAAACUAAUCAUGGAAAAGGAUCCAAAUGCAACCAACACCUAGACUUAGGGUUUUAUCUGACAGAAUUCCACGAGUUUUGGUGUUUGUCUAUUUCUGCAGGGGGUUAUCAGGAAAUACGGAAGAAAGGCCCACACAUCGGGUUUACAUAGAGAUAUUAACGUGCCGCGUAAUUUUCUAUCAUCUAGAAGACUCCAGAAGCCACGGGACCGAACGGAAGACGUAACGGAGCCGGGCACUGGGCGCCCGCCCUCCCCCCUGGACCAAUCAGGGCGAAGUUCGGGGAUCAUGCUCCACCGACCUAAUACUUCAAGGAAAACCACACGAUCAAUGUCGGUUUGAUCCGACGGCCCAGAUUCACUUGAAGGGACUAUAAAACCAGACCCCCCUAGCCCCUGGAGAUCGUACCUCUUCUACAGAAUCAAAGCUAGGGUUUCAAUUCUUCAUCCAAGUAGAGAGGAUCCCUCUAGUUCUUCUAGUUCUACCUCUAGUUCAUCUAGAUCUAGUUCUAGUUCAUCUAGUUCUAGUUCUAGUUUCUCUAGUUCUAGUUCUAGUUAGUUCUAGUUGUAAUCUAGAAAAUAGGCAGAGAGAAGAGGAGAGCAGAGGAGGAGCCGGAUCUGUCGGAUCUUCCUCAACAUUAUACUUUUGCAGCAUCUGGUUCGUUCUUCAUCGUUCUCCAGGUUCUUCAAUUCAUAAUUCCUGAGUUCUUUAAUUACUUUUAAGUUAUUUAUUGGAUUCCCGCUUGCAUCAAGUGCUCUAGUCUUUAUAACGCUAGAGUAGUAAUUAAUAGAUUAGACGUGGUGUUUAGUCUUGCGAUUACCUGGAAUUGCACCCAAUCCCACGGAUUGUUGUGGUAGCCCUAGGGUAGUGACAGCCCUAACGGUCGACGUAUUCGACCACGUUCGGAUCGGUGUUUGUAGGACCGUAGUCAGACCUUCCUAGCCCCCUUCUCAUCUCUUUCUGUGGUUAGUGCUCUGAUGUCCCGAUAUAAAUAAUCUUUGAAGUAAUUCUUGAUUCUUAGAUCAACUAGAGAACUCUCAGGAAACUUCCUCUGUUCCCACCAAAAAUAAUCAUAUAGUUAUCCUUGGGCGAUCUUGGAUCUUAAUUAGUACACUCACGUUCCCUGUGGAAAAUCGAUACUCUGGAAUACUCCCGGGUGAAAGCUACAUCGGUAUCCGUGCGCUUGCGGAUUUUUCUGUUUGCGUUUAAAAUACCCAACAAGCUUUCUGGCGCCGUUGCCGGGGAACGGUAGCUGUACUAGUUUCGAACAAAGUCGUCCGUGUAUCCUUUUUCUUUUCCUUUUUCACCACACUCACCUUAUCAUUUUCACCAUACCACAUGGAUUUCACUCUAAGCAUUAAUGAGCAUGGAAUUUAUUUCAUAGCCACUUCAUUUACUCCAUGCUCAUAUGCAACAUCUUCACAAUCCAUUGGUUUUUCCAACACCACCACAUUCGAGAUCUCCAACCCCCUCAUCCUUUCUAUUUAUAAAAACUUUAAAAGGGCGGUUGUCGAUGCAUAUGUCUAUAAUAAAUUUUGCAGAUCUCAUUGAGUUGAUCUUGAUAUAGGUCAGCGUGGGAGGGGAAACCACUUCGCCGACAUAAAUUGAUGGUUUCCCAAGGACAAGCUUAGUGUCCUAAAAUAAGCACUGAUCAGACCGUAACAUGAGCUUUUAAUUAUUUGCAACAUUACCUUGUGUGUUGCGCAUAUAAGAAUAAUUGUAAAAAUAUUCCUUUGGAUAUUCUUGUCACUAACCUUUCUAGGAUUGGAGCAAGAAGAUCGGAUGAAUGACAAGCACAAGGUAUGUCCAACCAAUCAUCAUACAACAUUGAAUUAAAUUCAUCCAAACUUGAAUUUUGCAAAAUUCAAGCUUGGGGGAGACUUUACAUGAAACAUCCUUUGCCAUGUUGCUAUGUUGGUUGUCCCUACCUUUGAGACAUGCUCAAUUUGUUAAAUACUAAUCACACUACUUCAUCUCCACUUGAGUAGAACUCUAUAAAUGCUCUCAUGCUACCUUUAUUUGCUUUAGUAUAUGUCUAGGUUUGGAGUCGUUUCAUUUAUCUCUUAAUUAAGCAUGGUGCUUAGUUUAGGGCUGAUGAUCUUAUUUCCGAGGGAGUUUAAAUUAAGCAUGAUGCUUAGGUUAAAAUGCCCUCCUAAAUCAAAUUAGACAUGGUGUCUAGGUUGAUCUUUGAGCCGAUAGUAUGCUAUAGUAAACAUUGGAUAUUUUGUUGGACUAACCCCUGCAGGAAAACUUUCAAUAUCGACCUGGGAAGUCCUGAGACAAACUCACAUUGGAGAUAAAGAGAGAGGCACAUGAAGUUUAACAAUUUACACAAGGAAGGCAUAGGUCACAAGAGAUGAUCCCUGGAGGGUGCCACAAACACGAUGCACAACCGCUAAGAGAGGAAAGCUUCCACAAGGUGAUACUGUACCAUCACUCUUCAAGUAAGGUAACAUCUUAAUGUACUUGACUAUCACUUUUAUAAGCUUCUCCUUAUUUCUGGCAUUCACAUGAAUAAAAGAGACAAACAUGUAUGAUCUACAACUCUAGAUUAACCAAACCAAUCGAUUCAAUAUGUUUAGUCCUUCCACCGUUGUGAUCCCACACUCCUAAUCAUAUGAGCUAAAAUGUUGCACAUGCAAUCUUUGGAAGAUAUAUAUAAAAAAACAACAUAAGUAUAGAUAGAUUAUCUUUCCAUUAGGUUGAGUGAUCUGAUCUGACAAAUGUUUUAAAUGUUACACUCAUGGUCUUAUUAUCCAUCAACUUUGUCUUGCUCACUAUGCUUAAGGUUUGAGAGAACAAAUACACUUUUGGUUUUGUUGGUAUUUUCCACCAACAGGGCCCAUACACUUGAUCUCUGCCUUGUCUCUAUGAGCAGGUACACUUCAAGCAAAAUAUGAAGGAGUUUUACAACUCCUAGACUCCACCAAGUGAAGAACCUAGAUCUACGAGCACAAACACACUGGAGAUACUGGACACUCAGGCAAUCACUGCCCUGAGAUGCUUAAGGACGCUACUACUGGAGUAACCCCGUUGUGGAUGUAAUUACUGACCUUCUGCCGGUCAAGAGAGACAAUCUAGGAUGCCCCAUCAUCCCGAUCUCCAUCGGCAUGCUUGCAGAUCGUACGCUAAGUUUCCCAAAGAGAAUAUUGAAGAACCUCUACGUCUGAGUUGGUACCUUAUACGCUCCAGCAGACUUCGUGGUGAUAGAGACUGAUACUGAUGAGAGGGCACCCAUCAUCUUAGGGAGGCCAUUCCUAAACACCUCAGGACCUGUCAUCUACGCUAGUGCUGCCAAGAUCAGUUUCUACAUCACGGGGAGGAAGGAGAUGUUUUCCUUCAAGAACAAGACACACAAAUCUCAGAGCAAUCCUGACAUGAACCAAGGAAGAGGACCAACACGAGGAACAGAAACAAGCAAAUGUGGACCGAGUCAGCUAAGAUGGUCACUGCAAUUCAAGGAGGUCAAGACCAUCAACUCAAGUCGCCUUUCUUGAUCAAGAAGGAUGACCCUGGUGUUCCAAGCAUCGAGUGCACAAUCAACGGAUAUUCUUUUCAGAAGACACUCUACGACACUGGAUCUGACGUCAACAUAAUGGUCGCAGUCACCUAUCAACUCCUGUUCGGAACCAUGCCCCUAAAACCGACAUACAUUCAACUCCAGAUGGCAGAUCAGACAUUCCGAAAGGUUAUUGACAUGAGAGAAGACGAGUACAAUCCACCCAUCAUCCUUGGAAGACCGUUCCUCAGCACUGUUAAAGCAAUCAUCUACAUUGGAACCGGAGAAGUCCACAUGCAUUUCCCCUCUGAUAAGGUACGCCACUAUUUUACUGACCCUAACUAUAUAGUUGAAAACUCUAAGUAGGUCAGGACAAGAAGAAGACGACACAACCGUAACCAGAGGAGGCAAAUCAUCAAGGACGGAUGGGCAGACUAUGAAGGAGAAGUCGUAAGGUCUGAAGACAUACAGCUUGAACAGAACUGUCCUGAGGAGACCGUAGCACCGAGUCAGGUGUGCAGAAAGAAGAUAGUUAUACACAAAGAGCAGGCUCUGCCGGAACCACCGACUAUGCCAUUCAGCAAAUCCCAGGACGACUGAGAAAACGGAGGGUCCCGUUCGGAGGACUUAAAAACACCGAACGCCUUGCCAAGCGGUAAACUUGGUAGUUAUCUUUUUCCUUUCAAUUAUUUUAAAAUAGUUUGCUUAGUUAAUCAGGUUCACAUCAUCUUGAAAAGAAAAUAAAAAUAGUAAGCCCCAUGUGGUUAUGCUCAUGGCAUAAAACCCAUAAGUACAUUCACUGUGGUGGCGUAAAAAUAAAAUAAAUAUAUUCCUGUCCUAUAAAAAUAAAAUUAUAAAAAUAGAUUUAUGAUCCCACUAAAAAGAGUAAUAUUUAUUGAGGAGACUCAACAUGAUAAAGGCUAGAUAUUUAUGCUAACACUUAACUAGUUCCACAAGCUUUGUUGUCUAUUUGAGCUCCACAGAAUUCAAGGAUCAAAGAAGACUAGCAGACGGAGGACAUCCUAGUCGCCGUCAGGGUGCUGCUGACAUUCAAAUAUACCUUCGCCACCUGCUAGCUACAUCAGAAGGAAUUACGUCAAAAUCCAGCUUGGGGGAGAGCACCUCCAUUUAUCCAGCUAAGUAUUCUACUCACGUUUAUAUUUUACUCAAAUAAUAAAAAGAUGCAUAAUCGUAAAAACCCAAAUAAAGAUUUUUUGCUUAUAUAUAUAUCUUUGCUUAGUCUGCUAAAUAAAUAAAUAAAUAAAAUUUGCUAUGAACCCUCAUGAUAAGCUCUCACAUGGAAAGAUGAAUAGUUGCUCUGCCAUGACUAGUUCUCAAAAUUGAAAUCUCUCUCAAGUUUAGGCAUCACUGUUAUUAAUUAAGAUUUGCUCUAAACCUGAACUUGUGGGAAGAGUACUUGAUCUGAAGUCUAAGUCAUUAACGGAUAUGAUAUGGGAAGGUUAAGCUGUUGUUUAUCUGUUCCUAGAGAUGCUAGAAUUCUGGAGAAUUUUAUCUUUGAAAAUCUUUAAAAUAUCACAUGAUGAGUUCCUGUAUGAUGAGAGUUUAAAUUCCUACCACAGCCAUAUAUACAUGCUUGCUAGACUAUGAGCCACACAUUUACUUUUUACUGCUUAUGAGCAUUGAGUGUGGUCAAGCUUUGUAGACCCUUAGGAGCUUGUCAUGUGGUUAAGUCAAGAUUCACUUGCACGUUCACUCAUACAUGCUACUUCUACUCUGGAAGUACCAUCCACAUAUACCCAUUUCCAUCUCCAGAACCACCCAAAAAUAUUCUACUCCUAAUCCGGGAGAGAAUAGCCAAAAAUAUUUCUAUUUUUUCCCUGUGAAAUAAAUGCUCAAGUUAUCUUGUCACUACCACUUGCUAUAUUAUCUCAUGAGAUGAGUGCUCUAAAGAAAAAAGAUAAAAAAAGAAGAAUACGAGGAAAUAAAAAGGGGCAAUUGCCCGGAACCUCGAAAGAAAAAAAAGAAGAAAAAGUGAGACGAGAGGUAAAAAUGGACAAGUGUCCGACAGUAGAAUUAGGGGUACAAGAUACCCACCUGAGAGAAAAGAGAAAAAGAAAUAUAGAGCAUCUUAUUCUCCUCAAAAAGUUUCAAAAGAGCAAGAAAGGUAUGUAUCCCCUCAAAAGAGCAUAAGUAGAAUUAGACUUUCACCAUUGUUAUCACCAUCAUCACCAUACACCAUUCAUUCGCCACACAUGCACAUCUUGAUUUGACUUAUUGACUUGUUCUUCUGGAUCUAUGGUUUGACUAUGCAAUAUAUGUCUUGUAAGUAUGUAUUAGCUGUCUCCCACCUAUGAGCUCCAGGUAUCAAAACCUUAUUAGAGUAGGGUGAGAGAGAAGGCAAUGUCACUAUACCUUAUACCACAAAUACCACAUACUUUGAGAGAAGGCAUAUACCAUUACUGCCUUGGUAAGGAUCUAGAAAUACCACAAAAGAGAGACUAGAGAGAGUCAUACAAGGAAUCUCUGAGUUUUAUUUGAAAAUCUGCAAAAACUCCAGAGCUAUAGUUAAUCGAAGAACAAGAGACAUGGUGCUUGACUAGACUGUUCUAUCUUUUAACUACUCAAGACAGAAGUGAUGGUUACAAGUCCCAUGGUGAAAGGUAAAUGAGUAAGUUUUAAGUCUUAACAGUUUACUCUAACCAGAGAUGAGAUCUUGUUUAAACGCAUGUGUAUCUUUAAGUUAUGAAACCACUGCAGAAACUCUUGAGUCCAUCUUUGCUCAGGGACGAGCAAAGGUUAAGCUUGGGGGAGCUUGUUGACGGUCCUUAAUGCUCACAUUUAACCAUCAACUAAUCAUGGAAAAGGAUCCAAAUGCAACCAACAC
rnacentral:lncRNA from 1 species